AAUUUUGUGUCUUGUUUAAAGGUCGUGGUUUUGGCAUUUUGCUGUUGAAAUCAGUAUAUCAGACUACGGUCUUUGGAUGAGGCUCAUUUUU